rnacentral:rRNA from 1 species
AUGGGCGCAAGCCUGAUGCAGCGACGCCGCGUGAGGGAUGGAGGCCUUCGGGUUGUGAACCUCUUUCGCUCAUGGUCAAGCCGCAACAAUGGUUGUGGUGAGGGUAGUGGGUAAAGAAGCGCCGGCUAACUACGUGCCAGCAGCCGCGGUAAUACGUAGGGCGCGAGCGUUGUCCGGAAUUAUCGGGCGUAAAGGGCUUGUAGGCGGUUGGUCGCGUCUGCCGUGAAAUCCUCUGGCUUAACUGGGGGCGUGCGGUGGGUACGGGCUGACUUGAGUGCGGUAGGGGAGACUGGAACUCCUGGUGUAGCGGUGGAAUGCGCAGAUAUCAGGAAGAACACCGGUGGCGAAGGCGGGUCUCUGGGCCGUUACUGACGCUGAGGAGCGAAAGCGUGGGGAGCGAACAGGAUUAGAUACCCUGGUAGUCCACGCUGUAAACGUUGGGCACUAGGUGUGGGGGCCACCCGUGGUUUCUGCGCCGUAGCUAACGCUUUAAGUGCCCCGCCUGGGGAGUACGGCCGCAAGGCUAAAACUCAAAGGAAUUGACGGGGGCCCGCACAAGCGGCGGAGCAUGCGGAUUAAUGCGAUGCAACGCGAAGAACCUUACCAAGGCUUGACAUGCACGGCGGCACUGCGGAGAUGUGGUGGCAU